ACGGGGCGCAGCAGGCGCGAAAACUUUACCAUGCGGGCAACCGUGAUAAGGAAACCCCGAGUGCCAGCACGGGCUGGCUGUCCACCAGUGUAAAUAACUGGUGAAGAAAGGGCCGGGCAAGACCGGUGCCAGCCGCCGCGGUAAUACCGGCGGCUCGAGUGGUGGCCACUAUUACUGGGCUUAAAGGGUCCGUAGCUUGAUAUGCAAGUCUUUUGAGAAAUCCGCCGGCUUAACUGGUGGGCGUUCAGGGGAAACUGCAUUUCUAGGGACCGGGAGAGGUGAGAGGUACUGCCGGGGUAGGAGUGAAAUCCUGUAAUCCCGGUGGGACCACCUAUAGCGAAGGCAUCUCACCAGAACGGGUCCGACAGUGAGGGACGAAAGCUGGGGGAGCAAACCGGAUUAGAUACCCGGGUAGUCCCAGCUGUAAACGAUGCGCGUUAGGUGUGUCAGUGACCACGUGUCACUGAGGUGCCGAAGGGAAACCGUGAAACGCGCCGCCUGGGGAGUACGGUCGCAAGGCUGAAACUUAAAGGAAUUGGCGGGGGAGCAC
rnacentral:rRNA from 1 species